GAAAAGGGAAAAUUGCUCCACCAUGUUUUUGGUGUACAAAAGAAGUGUUCCUUAAAAACACAGCACCCUGCGGCCUGAUGUGCCCCAUCCUGGCUGUGAUGAAUCUUAGCAUAUGCAAAUUAACCUUCCAGACACCUCUUCUGAGAAAGUUUGCUAGAAAGGCUAGGUCAGUGAACCUAGCUAGAUAUUCCUCUUAACAAAGAAGGGCUAACCUUUUGGAGCCAGAGUAAUUAGGAAUCGAGCGAAACAUAAUCAUACGAGCAGACAGUCGAUAGGCUACACAAGGCAGGUUGAGUCACCUACAGUGAACUUUAUAUAGUUAGGGAUAUGUUCUCAAUCAUACUAUAUAAACUUUGUGAUCAUAUGUAAUGGUCCUUGUCAGAAAGGAUAUAAAAGGGAAAAUGAUACAGUAAUCUAUCAUCCUUACUUUUCAUAAUGCGUCUGUUAGCUCGCCAGUGUUCCUAACAAGGCUUAUGCUUUAAGCGAUGUCGUGAAGU
rnacentral:lncRNA from 1 species